rnacentral:rRNA from 1 species
GGAGAGUUUGAUCCUGGCUCAGGACGAACGCUGGCGGCGUGCUUAACACAUGCAAGUCGAACGAUGAAGCCUAGCUUGCUAGGUGGAUUAGUGGCGAACGGGUGAGUAAUACGUGAGUAACCUACCUUUAACUCUGGGAUAAGCCUGGGAAACUGGGUCUAAUACCGGAUAGGAGCCAUUUUUAGUGUGAUGGUUGGAAA